CCUAAAGUAGGUCAAUCUACUGGAAAACCCAGUAUUAACUUCAGGUUUGACAACAGGAAGAUUCAUCCGUGUAAUGAACAGUCUCCUUUUAAAUACUAUCGAAUUUAAAUGAAGAAAAAUAAGUCAAUCAAGUCUUCUGUUACUUUGGCACUUGGAUCUGGGGAAUGAUCAUCAUCACCACUAAAUAUGAAAGGAUUUUCAGCAAUACUUUGGAGAGUAUAAAACUUGCAAACAAGGUCAAUUAUAACGUCGUCCAGAAAUGUAGCAGAAUACACAGAAGACUGUGGUAGGGACAGUGCUUUUUCAUUAGCAGGAUUCAAGAAUUCAAUGACAUGGUCAUUUUCAGACAGGGUCUUCUGUCGCCCUGGCUGGAGUGCAAUGGUGCCUUCUCGACUCACCACAGCCUCUGCCUCCUGGACUCAAGCAAUCCUCCCACCUCAGCCUCCCAGACUAGCUGGGACCACAGAUGUGCACCGCCAUGUCUGGCUAAUUUUUGUAUUUGUAGUAGAGACAGGUUUUUCGCCAUGUUGCCGAGGCUGAUCUCGAACUCCUGGCCUCAAGCAAUCCACCCGCCUUGGCCUCCCAAAGUGCUAGGAUCGCAGGCGUGAGCCACGGCACCCAGCCUUGAAUAUUAUUUAAAAGGCAGCUUUGGUAUGACAUCUGGAUGAAUUUGGAAAUCAGAAACUUCAGCCAGGAUAAUUUUAGCUACCCUCUCAGCCAAUGUCUUUGUGUCAUUGAGAAAAUCUUUAUCAGGUAGUUGUUCCUGUUCAUAUCCUUGUAAAACUUUGUUAUUUACCACAUCAGAAAUUUUGACAAUUACAUAUCUACUGGGGGAAAACACAAUUGUCCCUUAGUAUUUUCUAGGAUGCUAACUUGGACUUUUGAAAAUUCUUCUGUUGUCAAAUAUAUUAUUACUUCAGCUGUCUCCAAAAGUUCUUUUUUCUGAAUCUCUUACUGAUUUUGUUUGUGCAAUGCUUAACACUCUAUGGAAUAUUUUGCUUAAAACUCCAGAGAUCAUGUCUUCCAAGAAGUCUGAGAAGUAAACACCAGUAGAAAAACUGUGGCCUUCUUGCAUCAUCAAAAUAUGUAUAUUAUGAAGGAAGUAACAAAUUUCCAUAUACAAAUGGAUAAAGAUGUUGACAGAUAUUUCUAAUGAUAAAAUCUGCCAUUCUGUCAAUAGAAACAUUGUUACUGCUUGUGAUAGCACGUUCAGCUGCUUCCUGAGACCCAGAGUUUUGCAAAAUAUUUCUAAAUACUGAAUUAACGAGAUGCUGAGCAUCAUCCUCUGAAUAAACAGAGUUGGUUUUUCUUCAUCUUUUGAAACUCUAAUUCCAUGUUGGAAACUUUUCAUCUUAAUAUCACUAAUUAGUUUUGGAGAGAUUUCAUUGAAAUUUAUUCCUGAUCUGGAGUUUCACUGCAUGGAAGCAAGCUAGAUGCAGAAGAAAAUAUUCUGGAUAACAGUACUUUGAUUGUGUCUUCUAAAAAUGUGUAUGGCAAUAAGGUGUUAUACAGAGAUAAAUGCUGCCUUGACUUCGUAGAUUUACUAAUGGCACUAAAGAUAUUCUUAAUAAUAUUUUCUGUUGUUAAAGUGGCAUAGGAAGCUGACAAAUCCCCAGAAAACAGUUGAUGAAAAAGAUAAACACAAAUAGCUGCCACAAUUAAAUUGGUAAUAUCUUCUGCAAAAAAUAUCACUGUCUUUUUGGUAAUAUCUUCUGCAAAAAUAUCACUGUAUUUUUGGUAACAUCUUCUGCAAAAAUAUCACUGUCUUUGAGUUCUUUACUAUCAACCUCAAGGGCCAGCCCAUGCUGUUUCAGAACAUUCUUAUAAGCUGUAUUGACAAGUUCACCCACAGUGUCUGUAUCUACAGUGGGAAAGGAUUGCUCUUGGUAAUCACAAGGGAUGCAAAUUUUAGCUUUGUUGAAAUUGUUAUUUAUUGAAUUUACUAUUUUUGGAUCAUUUUAUCCAGUUCAUGCUCAGUGUUAUAGCUCAGGUUGAAGACCUUUGAUAAAAGCCUUACAACAAUUUUUCCUACAAAUGUAUGAGGGUAAAAACCUAUAGCCAGUGGUGAUGGGGUUUUCUGGGGUCUGUGUGACUCUGUGACUUCACUGAGAACCUCCUUAACCAUAUUGGAUAUUUCAUCCAAUGGAGUCUUUGGACAAGGUAAGCCCUCGCCACACAAAAAGGAUUGAAUGAUUUUCAAUAAUCUUGACUAAUAAGACUGGCUGUCCAGUCAAUCAUAAUUUGGCUUUGGCCUGCUGUAACUUUUCUGUAUUGACACAAGAGAGUCAGACAUCUGAAAAAUAUUAUCAUAAACAGAUUCCACUAUAUUUUGGAGGUCUUUUUCUAUACAUAGAUACUAACGACCAUAUUUAGUGAGCCAAAUCUUAUGCUUUGAAAAUGGCUAACAUAACUUUACUUAUUAUACAGGUGGAUUUCUCAUUAAAAUCUGAAGUCAUUAAAUAGUUCCUUCCCAAGCAUGAAGUCUUGCUGUAUAGAGAAAGAGUGGAGAUAAUAGCCUCCUGAUGACAUCUUCUAAAAAUGAGUGUGAUAACAUGGUAAUGUAGCAUGUUGAAUGUUGAACUUGGUAAAUAAGUUAUUUCAGGUUAUUCUGAAGUUUCUGCAGUAUAUUUUCAGCUUUGAGAGAGUAAUAUGAAUUAGGCAUGAGCCUUUCUUCAAAACACAAUGGGAGUUGCUAGUCUCAAAUCUCUAUCAGUAUGCCAUUAGUUAUCUGCUCUGCUACUGGGGUGAUAGUGUGUGCCAGAUGAUUACCACAAGUCACUUGCAAUUUAUAUUCCCGUAAAGCAUCGUUAUAAACUGAGUCAACAAUCUUACGAGCACUUUUUUUUUUUUGAGAACAAGUCUUACUCUGUCACCCUGGCUAGAGUGCAGUGAGUGGCACGAUCUCAGCUCACUGCAACCUCCACCUCCCAAGUUCAAACGAUUCUCCUGCCUCAGCCUCCCGAGUAGCUGGGACUAUAGGCACACACCACCAUGCUCAGCCAAUUUUUGUAUUUUUAGUAGAGAUGGGGUUUCACCAUGUUGGCCAGGCUGUAGACUAGUUGGAAACAUAUCCUUUCUUCAACACCCUAUAAAACAGUGACUUGAGCAUUAUUAAACUCAUUUACCAUGGGGUAAACACCUAAUAUACUCACCUCAUUGAACUGGGCCUCAGUGAUAUUUAUAUUUUUUUUUGCCCAAAAUGAGGUAUAGAGAUUAAGAAAAAUGCCUACAAUUAUUUCCUCCAAAAAUGUGGCAGAGUAAACUCCUGGGUUCAUGCCUUCUAGAUGUUGCAUGCUAUGAAUGGCUGCUAUAUUUAUUGCUUUUCUCCUGGUCUUCAAAGAGGAGGUAGACAAGAGGGUUUUCUUGGAAGUUGCUUACCAAAUAGGCUUCUAUUUGGAACAGAUAGCUCAGAUACUAUCCAGUGCCCCCUUCAAAGGCUUGCUGUCAUAACUCAUGAAACUUAUAGAGCCUUUUCCUUAUCUUGAUUAUUUUAAUUCUGGCCUUUUUGCUUUUAGGAAAUUAGAAAGUCUCCUUCUUUUCCUAUAUGCAAAGAAUGCAAAGGAUGGACAUCUUAGAGGUUGCUGUACGUGGUGUGAUUGUUUUUCCAUUAAGGAUUUUACAAAACUAUGGGAAUAAAACUAAUCAUAUAUUCUUGAUCGAUUCCCUCCAGAUUUUCCAAAAGUUCUUGUAUUAGGUCAUUUUUGCAUUGCUGUAAAGAAAUACCUGAGGCUGAGUAAUUUACAAAUAAAAGAGCUUUAGUUGGCUCAUGGUUCGGCAGACAGUACAAGAAUGGUGUCAGCAUCUGCUUCUGGGGAGGGCCUCAGAAUGCUUACAAUCAUGAUGGAAGGCAAAGGGGGAAAAGGCACUUACACGGGGAGAGCAUGAACAAGAGAGAAGGGGAGGUGCCAUACACUUUUAACAGAUCUUGUGAGAACUCCUUCACUAACCUGAGGACAAUUCUAAGCUAUUCAUGAGUGAUCCUCCCCCAUGAUCUAAACACCUCCCACCAGGCCCCACCUCCAAAAUUGGUUCAUUGUUUUCCUGUAAUAACCAAAUCCUUCUUCCUCUGUAUUUUGAAGUACGUUGAACAGUUGACAUUCUGCUGACAUUUCAUCAGAAAGAGGGUUAUUUGUAAGAGAGUUGUUUGUUGCGCAUUCUCAUAAAAGCAUUCUAAUAAGUUUCUUGCACACAAAUUUCAGAUGAAAAACUGAUUUGGGGGAAAGCCCUAGAUUAUUUCUAGGUAUGCAAUGACUUUUCUGAUUACUUGGAGAUGGGAAUAUUUUCAUUGCUAUUUUACCAGAAUCCAUAUCCCAAUUUGGCCAUUCAUCUGGCAAAACCAAAUCUAAAACAAUAUUUACAUUUUUAUUGACUACUUUAGAUUCACAGUUUUUAGGCUACCAACCAGAGUGCCUAAAUUACAUGCUAGAGAAUUUAGUUUAUUUUUCUGCAUGAGUUUAUCAAUUUGGGCAGUAGGAGCUGAUUUCCAGUCUCUGGAGCCUGCUUGUCUUUUCAUAGUUUUGCUUUUGUUGCAAUUGGCCAAAUUAGGGCUUCUAGGCAAAGAAAAUGAUUUGUUUCUUCCAUUGCCAUAAGGCUGAUGAUUUAUUCCUAUUUCUUUGUACAGAACAUGGAUGACUCCUAUUAAGAGUUCCCGAAAGAGAUCAUCAAAGUCACAGUCACAGCCACUCUUGGGCAGUAAAUAUAUUUUGUUUUUACAGAAACCAUUUGUUGGGUAAUGUCUGCUUUUAAAAUGUCACUAUUAAACAGGAUUCAAAUAAUGAUUUCAGAAAUGCUUAAAGCAAGUUCUCUGAUAGAAAUUGACUGACUCUCCAACACUUUGUAAUAAACUAAAAUAACCUUGUUAAAAGCUGAAUCUUGACUUUCCAGUGCUUUUUGUUUUGACCCACUGUCUUCGGU
rnacentral:lncRNA from 1 species